UCGUACAAAAUGUGAGAGGCAUGCGAGGGCUGUCGCUGACUCAAAGUCGUGCACGCCCGAGUUGUGUUCUCUCACAUAAUCAAUCCAUCUCACCCUUUUGUGCAUCACCGCGUGGGCACCCUUCGGGACCGUCUCGGAGGGGGCUCGCGUUUUCACACAAACCCCCCCUUUUAAAAGUGUAGAAUGACCUCAUUUAUGCGCUAACCCGCAAUCAAUAC
rnacentral:misc_RNA from 1 species